CAAAUCAUCAAAGUUGGUGUGAUGUGUUAAAUUUGCUCAUAUCACAGCUAGCUUUGAUGAGCUUGC
rfam:Crassostrea gigas strain 05x7-T-G4-1.051#20 contig7379, whole genome shotgun sequence.